rnacentral:RNase_MRP_RNA from 1 species
GAAGCACGGCUUCGUAGUGCACAAACGGGGAGCUUGCUCCCGCUCACGCUGCGGGGAAAGUCCCCG